UCUUGGAGGAGGGGUGAGGAGGGAUGACACAAAUUAUCUACAUGAAUAUGCAUCGUGUGGCGUCGCCUCCAGGUGGUGGAAGGUCUUACAAGACUCCACCAUUUCCAGUGUUCCCUGUGACACGUGAUGUUACAUUUACUGCACAUGGUGUCUCGACAAGAAAAAGCAGAGUGUGUUGCCUGGUUUACGCAGACCAAAUCAGCGACACGUUCAACGCAGCUUCAAGACGACCUAUGAAAGGCAGCCAACAUCGAGCCAAAACAAUUUGUGUUGUUUGUUGUUUGGCGGUCUGCGCGAGGGAAGGUCAUGUGUUGCUGAAGCAGUCUCGUGGCAAGGGUUACACUGGAUGGAACAAUGGAUGGAAUCAACAGAACAUUGAUCGAGAAAUGUGGCUUCAGGACUGUCAGGGCAAAACUGUCCCAAUGAGCUGUUCUCUCAUCUUCUGAAGAAACCAUAGUUGUGCUUGUAAAGGAAGUUCGCUCAGGCGUUACAUCGCUUGUCACCGCCACUUUGUAUGAAUCUCGAUGUUCCCUCGCCCUGAGAGCGCGAUCAGCAAAUUUGUUUGGUUGAGACGGAUUGCAAGUUUGCCAAAGUAUUGCUAAACUGAUGGUUUUUGGAAGUACAGACAAGGUGAAUUGUGUUCUGCAGUGUUCAAAAUAUAUAAUUCAAUUGAAAUUAAAAAAAAGAUUUCAAGGCUGUCGAAAAAAACAAAACAAAACAAACAUUGAAUUGAAAGUUUACCGCCGUUGAUGUAUUUGGGAAACACCAUCUUUUACACCACCUUAUUUAACAUGUUAAAUUAGUUAUUUGUGCCUGUUGUUUGUGUCCUUUGUGUCCUAAAAACAGUAAGUUUCCUGUUUGGAAUGUUUUCCAAUUUUUUUGACAGACUGAAGCAAUUCCUUUAGUCCACUGUGCGCAUGCACGUGCAGGACAAGUCGCCGUAUAAUAUUUCAAAAUUCAGAGACAAAUACUGCUAAAGUACAGGUUUUUAAAAGUGCAAAGAAGUUGAUUUGUGUUCUGCAGUAUUCAAAAUAUGAAAUUCAAUUGACGUUCCUUGAUCAUAGACUGACAGAGUGAACCAAUUGCCUGCCCCCACCCUCCUCUCCAUCCUCCCGCUUUGAGCUAUGCAUAUGGGAUAAUGACAAUUACAGAAGUCUUUUUCUUUACAGAGAUAUUGGCUCAUUGAACAGCUGACAACAGGGGGGGGGGGGUGAGAGGCCAAUUAAUCAACAAUGGGGCAAGUGAAGCAGUUGGCAAGCCUGUUAAUGUUUCCAUCUGAACCCCCAGCUCAUGAUACAGGGAACUCAAUCCCACAUCGGAUAUAUGUUGAUAAUGUUCUCAGAAUUACAUGAUCUACCAUUGUCCUUGUAAUUCGCAUUGAAGUACACUGGUGUUGACUAAUGUCUUUACCCUGCAUGCAAUUUACAUGCAAGCUCUACCAUGAGCGAUCAGUGUAAAAAAUAAAAUAAAAUAUGGGAACUGGCCGACAUGGAAUGGUUCAUUGGACAAGUAGCAAAUAGACAGGAAAAGUAAGAAGUAAGGACAUACAGACCUGAGAAAGCAUCAAAGGGGAUGAGUACACACAAAAUGGUGCCCUCAACAUUUAGAAUACUCUGGGAAGUUGCAUCACUUCCCACAAAAUCACCAGCUGUGUUUGUCUGAAGUCGAGUCUGGUAUUGUCUGAUCUAAUGUCUGUCUGCAUAUACAAAACAGCUACUGCAUGAAACUUUGGACCUGUGAAAAAAGAAAGAACGAAAGAAAAAUAUAACAAAAGUGUUAUGAAAUACAGUACAACAAAUUCAGAAGGAAUGUGUGAGAAGUCAGCAUUUAGGAAUCCAGAUUAAUUAUAUUGAAGCAGUCAUGCAUGAACUUAUGAAUAUGGUUUUGAAUUGAAAUGAGAAAAGGUCCGAUUUCAAAAGAGGAGAGUGACUAGACUUCAUUAUUACAGAAUUUUUCACUUUGCAUCCUAAUGUGAAUUGAUGCACAACACUGAUCGACGUGAACUGCAGCAUCAGUGCAGGUCACAGUAAUUUCAGUGAAGGCAGCCACGUCACAUCCUCGAUUGUCUGACAGCACAAGUGAUGUCACGUGUUUCAUAACCAAUCAUGGGCUCACAUACACAAAUGCAUGUCUUCUGUAUCAUCCAGCCAGCCAUUUGUGAACAAUACACAGCUGUCUGCACAGAAAUAUUCACCGAAGUUGCAUUGGCUGCUAAAUGGAGCAUUGUUUCAUUUAAGGAUUAAAGUGAAAAAUUUGAUAAUGAUAAGAUCUAGAACACACUUUUGUGUGCGGCAUGGGGCUGCUGAUUGGUUAGGGAUGCGGUUAGGGAUGGUUAUCAUCAUUGGUUAGGGAUGCGGCUACAUCGGUAACAACCCAAAAACUUGAGUUGGUUUCACUAAAAAACAAUGUUGCAUUUAUAUACAUGUUUCAGGGAUAUGUUCACAAACAUUAAUCUUAACAAACUGUGUGUGCUGUGUGUGACUGGUGGAAAAAAAUUUGGCUCAGUAAUUUAGAAAACACGUUGAUAUGACAAACGGCUCGGAAAUCGGGUGUUAUUUCACAACAACUCGCUCAGGACGAUGGAGCACGGACCACCCCCUCAGGGCG
ensembl:lincRNA